CAUCUGGGCAGAGGGAUCCUCCUCCCAUCGAGGCUGUGCAAAGCCUAAGCAGUGUGUUGUGAGAUGCUGCUGGAGACGUCUGAUGCUUCACCUCCAGAACUGAUCCCAGGCAACCUCUUUUCCUGCUGCUUCCCAAAACAGACCAUGGAAAGUCUUUUUGGGAUGGAGCCUCCAGCUUUGUCCAGGUGCUGGCAACGGCUGCAGAGCAUCCAGGCUGUGACUGAAGCUGCCGAGCACCGUGGGCUACUGCAUCCCAUGUGGGCGCUGGCAAUUCGUCGUGAUACCAGCCUGGUACACAGAAAGCAAGCCCCAGAGACAUCUGGCAGAGGCUGGUUUGUCCCCCCCCAGUUUCUAGCAGGUGCACCAGUAACCGGUUUCGUAGCCCCAUCAUGUGUCUGCCAAGUGAACUGCAUUGCUGGCUCCCAGCUCUCUGGCCCCUGGGUCAGGCAACGCUUGGCCCCCUGCGGCACAAAAGUAUGCAGCUGGUGGUGCCUCCGGAGUCGGGAUGUGCCCAGGAAAUAUCCUGUCUCCAUCUGCUCUCCCGUCGGGAAAUUACUGCUGUGGUGGCGGCUUUGGAGCCGUGCUGAGCUGUUUUGCUGCCAGAGACCCUGCUCAUCACCCUGUGAUGCCCAUCAGUACCCAGCCAAGGUGGCAGGGCUGGGGCUAGGUUUUACAGGAGACCCACAGAACUCAUGUGGCAUGCUCAGCUGGCUGUGGUGGUGUUCUCUGUAGAACAAACAUAGAAUGUCAGGGGCUGGAAGGGACCUCCAAAGCUCAUCUGGUCCAGCCCCCCUGCCAGAGCAGGAUCACCUGGAGCAGAUCACACUGGAACACAUCCAGAUGGUUCUUGAGUAUCUCCAGAGAGAAAGACUCCACAAUCUCCCUGGGCAGCCUGUUCCAGUGCUCUGUCAUACUCACAGUGAAAAAAAUUCCCCCUCAAGUUCACAUGGAACCUCCUAUGCCUCAACUUCCACCCAUUGCCCCUUGUCCUGUCACUGGACAUCACCCAGCAGAGGCUGGCUGCAGCCUCCUGGCACUCACCCUGCACGUAUGUAUAAACAUUAAUCAGGUCACCCCUUAGUCUCCUCCUCUCCAAGCUAACAAGCCCCAGCUGCCUCAGUCUCUCCUCACAAGGAAGAUGUUCAACUUCCUGAAUCAUUUCCGUGGCUCUGUGCUGGGCUCUUUCAAGCAACUCCCUGUCUCUCUUGAGCUGG